rnacentral:rRNA from 1 species
CCUACGGGAGGCAGCAGUGGGGAAUUUUGGACAAUGGGCGCAAGCCUGAUCCAGCAAUGCCGCGUGCAGGAUGAAGGCCUUCGGGUUGUAAACUGCUUUUGUACGGAACGAAACGGUCCUUUCUAAUACAAGGGGCUAAUGACGGUACCGUAAGAAUAAGCACCGGCUAACUACGUGCCAGCAGCCGCGGUAAUACGUAGGGUGCGAGCGUUAAUCGGAAUUACUGGGCGUAAAGCGUGCGCAGGCGGUUAUAUAAGACAGAUGUGAAAUCCCCGGGCUCAACCUGGGACCUGCAUUUGUGACUGUAUAGCUAGAGUACGGUAGAGGGGGAUGGAAUUCCGCGUGUAGCAGUGAAAUGCGUAGAUAUGCGGAGGAACACCGAUGGCGAAGGCAAUCCCCUGGACCUGUACUGACGCUCAUGCACGAAAGCGUGGGGAGCAAACAGGAUUAGAUACCCUGGUAGUCCACGCCCUAAACGAUGUCAACUGGUUGUUGGGUCUUCACUGACUCAGUAACGAAGCUAACGCGUGAAGUUGACCGCCUGGGGAGUACGGCCGCAAGGUUGAAACUUAAAGGAAUUGACGG